UCUAUCCUUCAUUUUUCACACCUCACACGCACCAUUUUCCAAUUUUCAUCACCUUUCUCUCCAUCUCUCAACUCUCUCUGCACUUUCUGCAACUUCUCUUCCUCCUCAAUCCAAAACCUUCCAUCACCUUUAUCAACCUUCCCUCUCUGCCACCACCGGAACCUCAACCAUCAUCUUCCUUCAAUCAUCAACACCAAAUCAUCACAUCACCUGCAUCAUUCUCGAUCUCGCAUCACAAAACUCUACUGUAAUCCUCUCUGCUUCAUCAUUUCCGUUUCAUCAAACGCAAACAACAUCUUCACCUCAAGAACGACAACAACACCACAAUUCAAAACCAGAACGCAAGAAGAAUAACGGAAACGCAGAAGAGAAAAGAAGAUUCGGUGCAGAGAAUAACAAAUUAUUAUAUGAAUCAGUUUUUCUGGAUUUCGCUUCAUCACCAAAAUCAAGAUCCACCAGAGCUUGCUUCCGACAGGUAAGACAAAUUCUUCCACUUCUCUUUGUUUCUCUGCAUCAUCUUCUUGCCUGA